AAGGAGGAGUUUAGGUAUUUUCAAAACCCUGACUGUUAUCAAUCCAUACAGAUAACCUCCCAUCAGAAGAUAAAAUCGCCAUGGCGGCUGCUGCCGCUGCGAUUUCUUCAUUGCGAAUUGCCUUUUGUCCGGCAAAAACAAGCCCUAAGCACUUCCGAUGCCGGAGCCAUAAACUCGCAAUGUGUUGUUUUUCAUCUUCCUCCUCUUCUGCCUCUGAACUCGACAACCUCCCGGCUCCGUAUUAUCUCCCCAAUACCAAAUGGGAUCCCUUCCGCAAGAAAAAGGUUGUAAUGCGCGUCGGCUACAUCGGCACCGAUUAUAGAGGCUUGCAAAAGCAACCGGAUCAGCCCUCUCUAUCAACUAUAGAAGGAGAACUGGAAAUUGCUCUCUAUAAAGCUGGUGGAAUUCGAGAUAGUAACUUUGGUAAUUUGCACAAAAUUGGAUGGGGUAGAAGUAGCCGUACAGAUAAAGGAGUUCAUUCCUUGGCAACCAUGAUAUCACUUAAAAUGGAAAUCCCUGUAUAUGCAUGGAAGGAAGACCCCAAUGGCAUCUCUCUUGCAAAUCACAUUAAUUCUUACCUUCCUCGUAGUAUCAGAGUUUUUAGUGUUUUACCUUCACAAAGGAGCUUUGAUGCUAGAAGGGAAUGUAAUAUCCGCAAAUAUUCUUAUCUCCUACCGGCUGAAAUAAUUGGAAUUAAAGAUACCUUAAGUGCAGCUGAAAUAGAUUGUCACUUGACCGAGUUUACCAAUAUUUUAAGCUCUUUUGAGGGAGAGCAUCCUUUUCAUAACUAUACAAUACGGUCCAAGUACAGGAAACCAAGUAGUGCAAGAGAUUCUUCUAAAACUGGUAGUGGGUCAAAGAUAGCGAGGUUAUCUAAUGAGGUAUUGGACCCUGAAAAGGAAGACUAUGAUGAAGAAAAAGAAGCAACAAACUUUGAUGUUGAGGAGGGCGGCAAAGAAAUUAAUACCCAAAAAAGUGAUGCAUUAGCAACAGAUGUUGAAGGAAUGAACUCCAAGUUUUCUAGGUUUAACAAACCUGGUAAACUUAUAUCGGGCUUGUGUGAUUCUCCUAAUAAUGAUUCACAUGACCAAUAUCCACUUUCGGCUUGUCAAGCAAGAUGGCUAUAUGAACCUGACAAGAAAGACAAACUAAGUGCUUCUCAUUUUAGAAAGAUUUUUCACUGUUCUUGUGGAAAGCUGGAGCGAAUUCUUGAUAUAAGUUACGUGGAGAUAUCCAUAUAUGGAGAAUCAUUCAUGUUGCAUCAGAUUCGCAAAAUGGUUGGAACAGCUGUGGCGGUGAAGCGCGAUUUACUCCCACGCGACAUACUUAUGUUGUCACUGAACAAAUUCUCACGGAUUGUCCUACCCCUCGCUCCAUCUGAACCCUUGAUUUUAAGGGGAAAUGACUUUGUUUUGAGAAACCAAUCUGGCAAUGUGACUAGACCUGAAUUGCAGACGCUAGUGGAAUCAGAGGAAAUUCUGAAGUUGGUUGAUGAUUUUUAUAUGUCAUUAGUCGUACCAGAAGUUUCGAAUUUCUUAAAUAUUUCAAAAUCUCCUUGGAGGGAAUGGGUAGCAUUACUGGAUGCAAACACUGGUAUUCCGGAUUCACAGUUGGAUGAAGUCAGAAAUGCUUGGCAACUUUGGAAGGAAACUUUUCAACACAGAACCAAUGAUAUGUCAAGAUAAUCAUUUGUACGCAUAAAAGUGAGCAGGAAGAGUACAAAGCCAUGCUUCUAGGAUGCAAGAAUGCUAGAGGGCUAGUUAUCCUACUAGCGGUAGAAAUAAGGAAGCACUGGGAUGUAGUACAUACUAAAGUCACCCAACUAGAAAGCUGGUGGCCAACUAUUACAUAGGAAAGUUUAUGCAUCACGAGUCAUAGAAGUGAAGGCCAGUAGUGACUCACUGCUGGCUGGCAUGAUAACCAUGGUGGCAAUCCUUGAGAUGUAGACUCUCUGUUGGUUGCAGCUGGUGUGGAACAUUGAGGAGAUAGCAGAUGAUGGUGGGCUUGUGACUGCAUACCCAACUUCAGCGAGGAAGAUGGCACUAUUUCACCCGUAGUAAAUCUUAGCCUUUCCACUUCUCCCAUCAUUGCUUCUGUUAUAUCUGUUUACGUAUGUGUUGUAUAACAUAUUAAUAUGUUAAAAAGGAAAAUAGAUUCCAAACAUGUUCGGUUGGACAUAUAUGACAAUACUAUGAAUAUAUCCUUUUAUCUUUUCAUUUC